rnacentral:rRNA from 1 species
CACGCCGUAAACGGUGGGAACUAGGUGUGGGCCUCAUUCCACGAGGUCUGUGCCGCAGCUAACGCAUUAAGUUCCCCGCCUGGGGAGUACGGCCGCAAGGCUAAAACUCAAAGGAAUUGACGGGGGCCCGCACAAGCGGCGGAGCAUGUGGAUUAAUUCGAUGCAACGCGAAGAACCUUACCAAGGCUUGACAUAUACCGGAAACAUCUAGAGAUAGGUGCCCCGCAAGGUCGGUAUACAGGUGG